CGGAUAGCAGUCUCUGGUGGCGAGUGGCGAACGGGUGAGUAAUAUAUCGGAACGUGCCCUGUCGUGGGGGAUAACGCAGCGAAAGCUGUGCUAAUACCGCAUACGAUCUACGGAUGAAAGCGGGGGAUCGCAAGACCUCGCGCGAUUGGAGCGGCUGAUAUCAGAUUAGCUAGUUGGUGGGGUAAAGGCCUACCAAGGCGACGAUCUGUAGCUGGUCUGAGAGGACGACCAGCCACACUGGAACUGAGACACGGUCCAGACUCCUACGGGAGGCAGCAGUGGGGAAUUUUGGACAAUGGGCGCAAGCCUGAUCCAGCAAUGCCGCGUGCAUGAUGAAGGCCUUCGGGUUGUAAACUGCUUUUGUACGGAACGAAAAGGUCUCUCUUAAUACGAGAGAUUUAUGACGGUACCGGAAGAAUAAGCACCGGCUAACUACGUGCCAGCAGCCGCGGUAAUACGUAGGGUGCGAGCGUUAAUCGGAAUUACUGGGCGUAAAGCGUGCGCAGGCGGUUUUGUAAGACUGAUGUGAAAUCCCCGGGCUCAACCUGGGGACCUGCAU
rnacentral:rRNA from 1 species